rnacentral:rRNA from 1 species
AUUGAACGCUGGCGGAAUGCUUUACACAUGCAAGUCGAGCGGCAGCGCGGGGGCAACCCUGGCGGCGAGCGGCGAACGGGUGAGUAACAUAUCGGAACGUACCCAGUCGUGGGGGAUAACUAUCCGAAAGGAUAGCUAAUACCGCAUACGUCCUGAGGGAGAAAGCGGGGGAUCGCAAGACCUCGCGCGAUUGGAGCGGCCGAUAUCGGAUUAGCUAGUUGGUGGGGUAAAGGCUCACCAAGGCGACGAUCCGUAGCGGGUCUGAGAGGACGACCCGCCACACUGGAACUGAGACACGGUCCAGACUCCUACGGGAGGCAGCAGUGGGGGAAUUUUGGACAAUGGGGGCAACCCUGAUCCAGCCAUUCCGCGUGAGUGAAGAAGGCC